AUGGACUACUGGGGUUUCUAAUCCUGUUCGCUCCCCAUGCUUUCGCUCCUCAGCGUCAGUUAAUGCCCAGAGACCUGCCUUCGCCAUCGGUGUUCCUCCUGAUAUCUGCGCAUUUCACCGCUACACCAGGAAUUCCAGUCUCCCCUACAUCACUCUAGUCUGCCCGUACCCACCGCAGAUCCGGAGUUGAGCCCCGGACUUUCACGGCAGACGCGACAAACCGCCUACGAGCUCUUUACGCCCAAUAAUUCCGGACAACGCUUGCACCCUACGUAUUACCGCGGCUGCUGGCACGUAGUUAGCCGGCGCUUCUUCUGCAGGUACCGUCACUUUCGCUUCUUCCCUGCUGAAAGAGGUUUACAACCCGAAGGCCGUCAUCCCCCACGCGGCGUCGCUGCGU
rnacentral:misc_RNA from 1 species